ACGUUAGCGGCGGACGGGUGAGUAACACGUGGGUAACCUACCUAUAAGACUGGGAUAACUCCGGGAAACCGGGGCUAAUACCGGAUAAUACAUGAAACCGCAUGGUUUCAUGAUGAAAGACGGUUUUGCUGUCACUUAUAGAUGGACCCGCGGCGAAUUAGCUAGUUGGUAAGGUAACGGCUUACCAAGGCAACGAUACGUAGCCGACCUGAGAGGGUGAUCGGCCACACUGGAACUGAGACACGGUCCAG
rnacentral:rRNA from 1 species